AUGCUGUGAUGGACCUAGCUAUUUGUCUGACUUGGUAUUGUUGCCCUGACUCUGACCAAGAAAUGACCUCCAUUUUAAUCUUCUCUCUGAGCAU